AACGAACGCUGGCGGCAUGCCUAACACAUGCAAGUCGAACGAGACCUUCGGGUCUAGUGGCGCACGGGUGCGUAACGCGUGGUAACCUGCCCUGAGGUUCGGAAUAACUCCCCGAAAGGGGUGCUCAUACCGGAUAAUGUCUUCGGACCAAAGAUUUAUCGCCUUUGGAUGGGCCCGCGUUGGAUUAGCUAGUUGGUAGGGUAAAAGCCUACCAAGGCGAAGAGCCAUAGCUGGUCUGAGAGGAUGAUCAGCCACACUGGGACUGAGACACGGCCCAGACUCCUACGGGAGGCAGGAGUGGGGAAUAUUGGAAAAUGGGCGAAAGCCUGAUCCAGCAAUGCCGCAUGAGUGAUGAAGGCCUUAGGGUUGUAAAGCUCUUUUACCCGGGAUGAUAAUGACAGUACCGUGAGAAUAAGCUCCGGCUAACUCCGUG
rnacentral:rRNA from 1 species